rnacentral:rRNA from 1 species
GACGAACGCUGGCGGCGUGCUUAACACAUGCAAGUCGAACGGAAAGGCCCCUUUGGGGGUACUCGAGUGGCGAACGGGUGAAUAACACGUGAGUAACCUGCCCUUGACUUCGGGAUAACUUCAGGGAACUGGGGCUAAUACCGGAUAAGAAUCCUUGCUGCAUGGUGGGGGUUGCAAAGCUUCGGCGGCUUUGGAUGGACUCGCGGCUUAUCCGCUUGUUUGUGUGGUAGUUGCUUACCAAGGCUUUGACGGGUAGCCGGCCUGAGAGGGCGACCGGCCACAUUGGGACUGAGAUACGGGCCAGACGCCUACGGGAGGCAGCAGCGGGGAAGAUUGCACAAUGGGCGGAAGCCUGAUGCAGCAAUGCCGCGUGCGUGAGGACUGACUUCGGUUUGUAAGCCGCUUUCAGCAGGGGCGAAGCUUGUGGUGACGGUACCUGCAGAAGAAGCACCGGCUAACUACGUG